AUUGAACGCUGGCGGCAGGCUUAACACAUGCAAGUCGAGCGGAGAUGAGGUGCUUGCACCUUAUCUUAGCGGCGGACGGGUGAGUAAUGCUUAGGAAUCUGCCAUUUAGUGGGGGACGACAUUCCGAAAGGAAUGCUAAUACCGCAUACGUCCUACGGGAGAAAGCAGGGGAUCUUCGGACCUUGCGCUAAAUGAUGAGCCUAAGUCGGAUUAGCUAGUUGGUGGGGUAAAGGCCUACCAAGGCGACGAUCUGUAGCGGGUCUGAGAGGAUGAUCCGCCACACUGGGACUGAGACACGGCCCAGACUCCUACGGGAGGCAGCAGUGGGGAAUAUUGGACAAUGGGCGGAAGCCUGAUCCAGCCAUGCCGCGUGUGUGAAGAAGGCCUCUUGGUUGUAAAGCACUUUAAGCGAGGAGGAGGCUACUAGUACUAAUACUACUGGAUAGUGGACGUUACUCGCAGAAUAAGCACCGGCUAACUCUGUGCCAGCAGCCGCGGUAAAAC
rnacentral:rRNA from 1 species